rnacentral:rRNA from 1 species
AAAGACGGAAAGAAGCCCUGGGAGGGGUGUGAAAUAGAACCUGAAACCGUGUACGGACAAGGAGUGGGGGCAGUCUUUGUCCUGUGACGGCGUACCUUUUGGAUAAUGGGUCAGCGACUUAGAUUCAGUGGCAAGGUUAACCAUCUAGGGGAGCCGUAGGGAAACCGAGUCUUAACUGGGCGUUCAGUCUCUGGAUAUAGACCCGAAACCAGGAGAUCUAGCCAUGGGCAGGUUGAAGGUUGAGUAACAUCAACUGGAGGACCGAACCGACUAAUGUUUAAAAAUUAGCGGAUGUAUUGUGGCUAGGGGGGAAGGGGCAAACAAACCUGGUGAAAGCUGGUUGUCACAGAAAGCUAUUUAGGUGGCGCUUGUGUCGAAUACUACUGG